rnacentral:rRNA from 1 species
UUGUUCUUCAACGAGGAAUCCCUAGUAAGCACAAGUCAUCAGCUUGUGCUGAUUACGUCCCUGCCCUUUGUACACACCGCCCGUCGCUACUACCGAUUGAAUGGCUUAGUGAGGCCUUCGGAUUGAGAUUUGGAGGCUGGUAACAGACUCCGGAUUUUGAGAAGUUGGUCAAACUUGGUCAUUUAGAGGAAGUAAAAGUCGUAACAAGGUUUCCGUAGGUGAACCUGCGGAAGGAUCAUUACCGAUAUUAGCGAACCUGAUCUUUUGGGUCAUGGUCUCGCGAAAACUUGUAUUUAAAACCCCACUCUUAAUAUAGAUGAAUAAUGAAUCAUUAUUAUAUGUAAAAUAAAUAAAGAUCACUUUCAACAACGGAUCUCUUGGCUCUCGCAUCGAUGAAGAACGUAGCGAAGUGCGAUAAGUAAUGUGAGUUGCAGAUUCCGUGAAUCAUCGAAUCUUUGAACGCAAAUUGCACUCCUUGGUAUCCCGGGGAGUAUGCCUGUUUGAGGGUCAGUAUAAUUAAAAUCGAAGCGUUGCCUCUUUUUCAGUGACGUCUUCGGAGUUGGGUUAUCUUAACUAUAUUUCAUGUUAAGAGGCUUAAAAUUGAUAUCAUUUUUUUUUGCGCAUUUUAAGACGUACAUAAAUUAUUUUUAUUCGUCUAUCAUGAUGGCAAAAAAAAAUUUAUUAGAUGCGACCAUGUUGAUAGUGGGUUCGUGUCUAUAAAUUUCUCAUGAUUUGACCUCAAAUCAGUAGGAGUACCCGCUGAACUUAAGCAUAUCAAUAAGCGGAGGAAAAGAAAUACAAUGAUUCCCCCAGUAACUGCGAGUGAAGAGGGACAAGCUCAAAUUUUAAAUCUGUCGGUUUCACCUGACCGAGUUGUAUUUGAGAGCGUUUCUUGUGUUUCUGUCAGUCAGGUCCUUGGAUAGGGCCAUCAUGAAGGUGAGAUUCCGUCGAUGAUUCGGAUUCGCUUUGUGAUACGUCAUCAGAGUUCAAGUGUCGGAUUGCAGCUUAA